CAGCUGUGCGUUUUAACUCAUCUCAGA
rnacentral:piRNA from 1 species